rnacentral:rRNA from 1 species
GAUGAACGCUGGCGGCGUGCCUAAUACAUGCAAGUCGAGCGAACGGACGAGAAGCUUGCUUCUCUGAUGUUAGCGGCGGACGGGUGAGUAACACGUGGAUAACCUACCUAUAAGACUGGGAUAACUUCGGGAAACCGGAGCUAAUACCGGAUGAUAUUUUGAACCGCAUGGUUCAAAAGUGAAAGACGGUCUUGCUGUCACUUAUAGAUGGAUCCGCGCUGCAUUAGCUAGUUGGUAAGGUAACGGCUUACCAAGGCAACGAUGCAUAGCCGACCUGAGAGGGUGAGGGGCCACACUGGAACUGAGACACGGUCCAGACUCCAACGGGAGGCAGCAGUAGGGAAUCUUCCGCAAUGGGCGAAAGCCUGAAGGAUCAACGCAGCGUGAGUGAUGAAGGUCUUCGGAUCGUAAAACUCUGUUAAUAGGGAAGAAAAUAUGUGUAAGUAACUGUGCACAUCUAGACGGUGCCUAAUCAGAAAGACACGGCUAACUACAUG